rnacentral:rRNA from 1 species
GACGAACGCUGGCGGCGUGCUUAACACAUGCAAGUCGAGCGGUAAGGCCCUUUCGGGGGUACACGAGCGGCGAACGGGUGAGUAACACGUGGGUGACCUGCCCUUAGCUCUGGGAUAAGCCUGGGAAACUGGGUCUAAUACCGGAUAUGACUCCAUGACGCAUGUUGUGGGGUGGAAAGCCUUGUGCGGCUAGGGAUGGGGCCCGCGGCCUAUCAGCUUGUUGGUGGGGUGANGGCCUACCAAGGCGACGACGGGUAGCCGGCCUGAGAGGGCGACCGGCCACACUGGGACUGAGACACGGCCCAGACUCCUACGGGAGGCAGCAGUGGGGAAUCUUGCGCAAUGGGCGAAAGACCUGACGCAGCGACGCCGCGUGGGGA